rnacentral:rRNA from 1 species
UACGUAGGGGGCUAGCGUUGUCCGGAUUUAUUGGGCGUAAAGAGCGUGUAGGCGGCCAGACAGGUCAGCUGUGAAAACUCGAGGCUCAACCUCGAGACGUCGGUUGAAACCGUUUGGCUAGAGUCCGGAAGAGGAGAGUGGAAUUCCCGGUGUAGCGGUGAAAUGCGCAGAUAUCGGGAAGAACACCCGUGGCGAAGGCGGCUCUCUGGGACGGUACUGACGCUGAGACGCGAAAGCGUGGGGAGCGAACAGGG